ACAAACAUCAGUGCUUUUAAGCCUUAGUUUCCUGUUAUCAAAAAAGUCCUGCUGCUAAGCAGACCCCAACCUCUGCUGGCAGGAAGUCCCUCACCUUCCUGUGAUUCUACUUGUGCGCUGUACCAGUGUCCCAGAUCACCUCAGAUGGAGCAGCAAAGUGUUUGGUCACCUCCCUUUCAAGGUCCACUGGAAACUUGAGUAGGGCUGAAUUUCUAAGUCCACCCACAAGAUGGAAAACAAACUCUACUAUGUCUAACUGCAAGGAGUCAGCACAGUAUUUCACUGCUCAUUGUAAUUACAAGAUACUGGGUUCCUCUGCAAAAGUGUUGGACUGAGACCUUGAAAUAUGGGCAGGUGUCAGGGCAGAUUUCGUCCCACAGUUUAGAAGAAGAUAUGUACAUGGCUUGAUAGUAUAUCAGCACUACCUCUCGUGAGAACAGGGACACAAGAGUUUAGGAAAAACCUCCUGGCCAAGAAGAGCUGUGGGAAUUCAC